UUAAGAAAUUACCAGAGACCCCUGGCCCCCAACCUUCAGCAACCACCACCCUAAUCGGUCAGCAGCCUUCCAUAUCAAGCAUCUCUAGGUCAUCACCCGGAGGACCAAUCACAGACCACAGAGCAUCGGCCAGACCACAGGGCAUUUGGGCAGUUUGUGCUGAUUGGUGGAUUCUGACUGAACAAAAAUGUGAUGCCCUAUUUUCACAGCAAUAUAAAACACCAACCAAGGAGGCCCUUGAAGAACCAGAAAAUAGCUUGGCUCCAGAUGGUUUUUUUGUUUUUUUUUGUUUUGUUUUUUUUUUUGCCAAUUGGAGACCCAGCAUCACCUAAGGCCUGAUCAUACUUCCUGCCUUGGCUUCUGUGAACAUCUCUGUAUCCUUACAGUAAAUUCUGUUUUUGGCUUAGCUAGUGUGACAGGAUAGAGCAGGGGGAGGUUUUGCCCCCAGGAGAUAUUUGACAAUGUCUGGGGACAUCUUUGAUUAUAGAACAGUGUGUGUGGGGUGGGGUACUGGAAUACUACUGGUAUCUAGUGCGUAGAAGUCAGAAAUGUUGCUAAUGAACUUAAGACACACAGGACAGCCCCCGACAACAAAGAUUUCUUCAGCCCCAAAGUUUAGUAGUGCUAAAAUUGAGAAAUCCUGGGAUAUUGUAUUCUAUCAUCCUAACCCCCUCAUUCCACCCCUGCUCUGUGGAGUCAUUUAGGAUAUUAACACUCAGCAUUCUAUUUUGAGCAGGGAUCUGCAUUAGCGAAACAAAGGUGCCGGUUGCCUCCUUGGAGUCACCUUUUUUCUUCCUUGGCAUGGAGCCAGUACCAAGAAUCUCCAGGGAUAGAGGUGGGACCCUAUGGGGAAAAGCAGAUAGCAGAGAAGGAAAGAAGAGGAAGACAGAAGUUUCUCCUCCCACACGUCAAAGGUUAAUUGUGUGAGGACAAAAGAAGAUUCCUUCCCCUGACUGAGUAGACUCACCAUAUAUUACUAGUAAGGGUAUUUUCUUUCAAGUAAUGGGUUGGACCUAUGGGGCAUGAGAGAGAAGUUUCACUGGUUUGCACUGGCUUCUGUCACUAGCUAAUAAAGGAGGCUGCCUGAGAUA